GAGUUUGAUCAUGGCUCAGAAUCAACGCUGGCGGCGUGCCUAACACAUGCAAGUCGAACGAGAAAGUGGAGCAAUCCAUGAGUAAAGUGGCGUACGGGUGAGUAACACGUGACUAACCUACCCUUGAGUGGGGGAUAACUUCGGGAAACCGAGGCUAAUACCGCAUAAUACCGAGAGGUCAAAGGAGCAAUUCGCCUUAGGAGGGGGUCGCGGCUGAUUAGCUAGUUGGUAGGUAAUGGCCUACCAAGGCAAUGAUCAGUAUCCGGCCUGAGAGGGCGCACGGACACACUGGAACUGAAACACGGUCCAGACUCCUACGGGAGGCAGCAGUGGGGAAUUUUGCACAAUGGGGAAACCCUGAUGCAGCAACGCCGCGUGGAGGAUGAAGUCCCUUGGGAUGUAAACUCCUUUCGACCGGGACGAUAAUGACGGUACCGGUGGAAGAAGCCCCGGCUAACUCUGUGCCAGCAGCCGCGGUAAUACG
rnacentral:rRNA from 1 species